AAGUCGUAACAAGGUCUCCGUUGGUGAACCAGCGGAGGGAUCAUUACCGAGUUUACAACUCCCAAACCCCUGUGAACAUACCUAUCGUUGCUUCGGCGGGCUCGCCCCGGCGCCUUCGGGCCCGGACCCAGGCGCCCGCCGGAGGACCCAAACUCUUGUUUUUGAUGAGUAUCUUCUGAGUAAACAAGCAAAUAAAUUAAAACUUUCAACAACGGAUCUCUUGGUUCUG
rnacentral:misc_RNA from 1 species